UGGCUCUCUAAAGUUUCCCAGCCUUGGCGCCAGAGGAAUGAAAACUUCUGGAGGAAUGAAGCGUGUCAUUGCAAACCCGGGGGCACUGCAGACAUGCAAAUGGAAGGAUUUCAGAGGUCACUGCAAAGUCGGGCUUGCUGCAGAGAAGAGAACUGGGGGUGAGCAGGAAAACUGGAAAGCUUCCGUCUCUGAACUAACUGGCCUACUCCCUUUGCUGCCCUCUGCAGGGCAGGGCAGGGAGUGAGAGGUAACCUCACACAGGAGCAGAGAGGCCAGAAUCUCUAUUCCAACUGCUAUUUUUAUCUCACAUCUCCUCUCUUGUCCUUGGGCUUGAAUCCGAGCCCAACCAGAUGGAGAAUGGCUGCGUGAACCCCUGGAGAAAGUCAGAACAAGUCCCCAGAGGGCAAUGCCCGGGCUCCGAGGCUCUUGCUGCCAUCUGGAGGGGUGAAACAGACACGAGAGCCUCACUCUAUGCGCUAAGUCCCUCACAACCUCAACUAAGGCUGCCUCAGCAACAAAGUUACAGCCAGAAAGUAUCUCGAAGACUAACCCGAUCUUCUGAUUUUACGGAUAAGAAGACUGAAGCCCACAGAGGCAAUGGACUCAUCCAAGUUCACCUUUGUUUUCAGUAAGUGAAAAGGAGGAUGAGAGCCCCCAAGCCUCUCACCCCGGGGAUCCGUCCACAUACUCCACCGCCCCUGCCCCUCGUAGCACUGUUAUUGGCUUGGGGGAUCGGCAGUAAAGGAAGGCAAAUUAAUCAAAUGCCAGGCACUGUGCUAGGGCUUGAAGUAUGUAUUAUCUCCAAAAGAUUAAAGACCCACCUACUUCAACAAAAAUCGACAGUUGAAAAGAAAGCUGGGCUCUGAUUCGGGCUCAGCCGCUUUUCCACUGUAUGCUAACAGGCAGGUCACUCUACUUUUCUCGGUGCUGUUCCGCCCUGUCACCUCUAGAAGCGCCGUAUAUCAUCCCCCAGAUCAGGGAAUUUGUGCUAGUCUAGUACAAGCAGAAGGAAGAGGUGAGGAAAAGGAAAGCCAGAUGGAGGAGGGGAAGGGCUGUGCUGCUCACAGAUGCCGG
rnacentral:lncRNA from 1 species